rnacentral:lncRNA from 1 species
AAACAGGUCAUGAGGACGAUUAUGUGAUAGAGCUGGCAAAUGAAGUGCGGAAAGUACUAGGGAUGUAGGAAGAGGGAUCCAAUGGAGAAGCUGGGUGGAACAGGGCGAAUUACAAUGAAAGCUCAAACCCAUGUCAUAAAUCAGACUCAUAUCUCAGCCCUUCAACUGCGCCCUCUGCCAGAAGCUGUUGCCAUGGACUCAUAGCUGCCGAUAUUGGAUUUCUAGCUAUCUAAGGCCGAUUUGAGCUGAGCAGUAAUUCUGGACCUUACUUUAAUGUUACAGCAGGACAAUUAGUCAUUGUUAGUUGUUUUUUUCACCCUUUUUCAGUCAAUUCUUUUAAUUUUAGCUUUAAUUUUGAGCGCUGAAAACCCUCUUUGAAGUGGAGAGGAAUGACUAACAUAGAAAUUCCAUGUAACCAUGCUGAUGUAAGUUUUAGUUGCAAAACAGUAAUCAAAGCAGAGAGUCCAUUUUCUUCAUUUACAUGUCUGUGUAUGUGCGUUAGUGAAUCAGCGAAUGACUAGAUAUAAAUUUGUCAGAAAUUUGAUGCUACGAUGAUGUUAGUUUGGUCCCUUUUUUAAGGGGGAAGAAGGAAUGAAAGCAAGAGGUUUCAUUUAGUUCAUCUUCCUGCAACUGCAUCGCAUUUCUUUAUCUUUUUUCUGUUUGAAGUGUUUGAUUAUUAUUAUUAUUA